AGCGAACGCUGGCGGCAGGCCUAACACAUGCAAGUCGAACGAAGUCUUCGGACUUAGUGGCGGACGGGUGAGUAACACGUAGGAACGUGCCUUUAGGUUCGGAAUAACUCAGGGAAACUUGUGCUAAUACCGAAUGUGCCCUUCGGGGGAAAGAUUUAUCGCCUUUAGAGCGGCCCGCGUCUGAUCAGCUAGUUGGUGAGGUAAAGGCUCACCAAGGCGACGAUCAGUAGCUGGUCUGAGAGGAUGAUCAGCCACAUUGGGACUGAGACACGGCCGAAACUCCUACGGGAGGCAGCAGUGGGGAAUCUUGCGCAAUGGGCGAAAGCCUGACGCAGCCAUGCCGCGUGAAUGAUGAAGGUCUUAGGAUUGUAAAAUUCUUUCACCGGGGACGAUAAUGACGGUACCCGGAGAAGAAGCCCCGGCUAACUUCGUGCCAGCCGCCGCGGUAAUAC
rnacentral:rRNA from 1 species